GUUUAGAACGUCGUGAGACAGUUCGGUCCCUAUCUGCCGUGGGCGUUGGAAGAUUGAAGGGGGCUGCUCCUAGUACGAGAGGACCGGAGUGGACGAACCUCUGGUGUUCGGGUUGUGUCGCCAGACGCAUUGCCCGGUAGCUAAGUUCGGAAUCGAUAACCGCUGAAAGCAUCUAAGCGGGAAGCGAGCCCUGAGAUGAGUCUUCCCUGAUACUUUAAGUAUCCUAAAGGGUUGUUCGAGACUAGAACGUUGAUAGGCAGGGUGUGUAAGCGUUGUGAGGCGUUGAGCUAACCUGUACUAAUUGCCCGUGAGGCUUAACCAU
rnacentral:rRNA from 1 species